rnacentral:snRNA from 1 species
GGAGAAGCAGGGCACGUG